rnacentral:rRNA from 1 species
GACGAACGCUGGCGGCGUGCUUAACACAUGCAAGUCGUACGGUAAGGCCCUUUCGGGGGUACACGAGUGGCGAACGGGUGAGUAACACGUGAGUAACCUGCCCACAACUUUGGGAUAACGCUAGGAAACUGGUGCUAAUACUGGAUAUGUGCUCCUGCUGCAUGGUGGGGGUUGGAAAGCUCCGGCGGUUGUGGAUGGACUCGCGGCCUAUCAGCUUGUUGGUGGGGUAGUGGCCUACCAAGGCGGCGACGGGUAGCCGGCCUGAGAGGGUGACCGGCCACAUUGGGACUGAGAUACGGCCCAGACUCCUCGGGAGGCAGCAGUGGGGAAUAUUGCACAAUGGGCGCAAGCCUGAUGCAGCAACGCCGCGUGCGGGAUGACGGCCUUCGGGUUGUAAACCGCUUUCAGCAGGGACGAAGCUUUUUGUGACGGUACCUGCAGAAGAAGCACCGGCUAACUACGUG